rnacentral:rRNA from 1 species
GAUGAACGCUGGCGGCGUGCUUAACACAUGCAAGUCGAACGGAAAGGCCAGUGCUUGCACUGGUACUCGAGUGGCGAACGGGUGAGUAACACGUGGGUGAUCUGCCCUGUACUUCGGGAUAAGCUUGGGAAACUGGGUCUAAUACCGGAUAGGACAACUUUUUGGAUAUUGUUGUGGAAAGCUUUUGCGGUACGGGAUGAGCUCGCGGCCUAUCAGCUUGUUGGUGGGGUAAUGGCCUACCAAGGCGUCGACGGGUAGCCGGCCUGAGAGGGUGUACGGCCACAUUGGGACUGAGAUACGGCCCAGACUCCUACGGGAGGCAGCAGUGGGGAAUAUUGCACAAUGGGCGCAAGCCUGAUGCAGCGACGCCGCGUGGGGGAUGAAGGCCUUCGGGUUGUAAACUCCUUUCGCUAGGGACGAAGCGCAAGUGACGGUACCUGGAGAAGAAGCACCGGCUAACUACGUG